CCAUCAGUCACGUGAUGCAGGCCAAAGGGAUAAGGCCUCCUCUCAGCGCCGGGAGCUCAGGGUUUAGGAGCCGUUGCUGUAGAUGGAGAGACGGGGACGUGAGCGGCCAUUAAGGGCGGCCAGGAUGCCGGGGAGCCGCACCCCCAUCUGCUCGGCGCCUUUCAAAUCUCAAGGUCACCUUACAAAGAUUAACAGAAGAGAAAAAAACAUAUAGUCGGAGAAAAAUAAAUAAUGACAUCAUCAAUACACAAAUUAAAGAUAGAAAUCGCUCCAAAGACACAAAAUCAAAAAAUCAAAAAAAACACAAUGUGAAGACUUAGAGAUUUAAGACUGAAAAUGGAGUUUCUUUUUUUUAGUAACCAAAGUUAUCAACGUAUAAUUUUUUGUGUGUUGGAAAAUAAAAUAUAGUGGCACAGCU